GCCCGGGUGGUGAAAUCGGUAAACACAAGGGAUUUAAAAUCCCUCGGCUAAUUUAGCUUUGCGGGUUCGAUUCCCGCUCCGGGUA
rnacentral:tRNA from 1 species